rnacentral:rRNA from 1 species
UCCGUAGGUGACAAGCGUUGUCCGGAUUUACUGGGCGUCAAGAGCGCGCAGGCGGUCGUUCAAGUCGAGUGUGAAAGCCCCCGGCUCAACUGGGGAGGGUCACUCGAUACUGAUCGACUCGAAGGCAGGAGAGGGAAGUGGAAUUCCCGGUGUAGUGGUGAAAUGCGUAGAUAUCGGGAGGAACACCAGUGGCGAAGGCGACUUCAGGGCCUGUUCUUGACGCUGAGGCGCGAAAGCUAGGGGAGCAAACGGG